rnacentral:misc_RNA from 1 species
CUGAUGCAGGAUCAUACAGGUAAAGGGGGGUAACUGUUGUGUUCUUGUGCAGCUGUCUGGGCAAUCCAACCGGGUUGAAAGAGGAAGUAGAGUUGUGGAGGUUUGAGAGUGAUAUCGUCUCGUGGCGAGAAAUCCAAACACUCAGGCUGCGGUGUUCUUAGGCCUCAUGUCUGCACAGAUCUCAUCCCGCACCGAGCUGCGGGCGAGUCAGGACGACAGAACCACUCGAUGUACUACCAACACGGUUUUCCUUGUGCUCCUUCUGUCUGUGAGCCUCCACUUCUUCAACUACGCGAUAUGCUUCCCCGUCUUCACCUUCUACGUCAUCAACGUCGUCAGCGAAGAGAACCACUACAACAUUAGUGCCUCACAUCCUUGCAGUAACGGCACUCACCGCCAUCAGGAGAUGGAGCUUCAGCAGAAGGUUACUGAGAUUAUGACGCCAAAUCCGUUCUUAUCGUUCUUCCCAGGCUUGAUUCCUACAUUGCUGAUUGGACCCCUCCUUGAUAGACUCGGAAGGAAGAUUGGUUUUCUCAUACCAAUGACUGGAACACUUGUAAAACAAAUAAUAUACCUUGUGGUCAUUUGCAAGAAAUUACCUGUACGAAUUUUAUACAUUGGUAAUGCAAUUGAAGGCUUGACGGGCGGUUUUGCUACAAUGCUAAUGGCUUCCUUUGUUAUGGUAGCAGAUCUCACCCUCCCUGGUAGAGACAGGACUUUGAAAAUCUCCAUAGUGGAAGGAAUACAAGCCAUCUUUUCAUCCUUGGGCGGCUUUGCAACCGGUUUCGGCAUAAAGUACUUGGGAUUCAGAAACAGUGUUAUUAUCGCGCUGGUUCUGAAUGUAGUGAACAUAAUACUGACCACCAUACUUCUUUCAGAGACACUCAUUGUCCGAGUCCGAACCUCCUGCUAUGCCAUUCUCAAAAACAUGAAGAGAUGCUUCGUUUUCUAUUGUCAAGAUACUGAGGACAGGAGACAACUAAAGUUAAUCCUUGGGAUGACUGCGUUCAUUUUGACCGUAGCUGUCAACUUCUCCAAAUCAGACAUCGUGAGCACGUACCUGUUCAAACCCAAUUUGUGUUGGGAUCAAGAGAAGAUCAACAUCGUCCUGGCAGCGAAGGUAAUAGUCUACUGGUUGGUGAUCCUCUGCUGUAUGCCGGUGUUCCAGAUAGUGCUAGGAAUGGAGGACAGGACCAUCGGGAUCGUUGGGUGUGUGUCAUCCAUCGCAGCGUGCUUCAUCAUGUCGUUCGCAACGAAUGAUAAAAUUGUGUAUGCAGUUAUCGGGACCGGCGUAUUCAUGCGACUGUCAAUCCCCAUGCUUCGCUCCAUCAUGUCAGGCAGUGUCAGACAAGACGAGCAAGGUGCGUUGUAUGCGGGGAUGGGAUGUGUGGAGAUGGUGUGCGCGGCGGUCAUGGGGACGCUGACGGUGUUGUUGUACCGGGCAACGGUUUCCUCUUACCCAGACACAGUGUUCGUCGUCAUGGGCUGCGUCAUGCUUGUCGUGCUCGGUAUCUUUUUCAUUUUGAAUUUGUACAGUCGACACAGUUCUGCCAGUCUCGAGGGAUAUACGCGGCUGGACGGCAGCGACAGCAACCACAGAGUCGUGAAUUAGACGCCGACGACGACACUAGGACAACUGGACAGCAAAUGACAGCCAAACUAAAAUCGACGACAACGACAGCAACGAUUUAGAGUUAAACUUCUCAGCAGCAACAGUGGCAUGAGAGAUGUAAACCAGACAACUGCGUUCUUCGUUCAUUAUACACGGAUGAAAGUAUUCCAAGUUUGUUUUCAGUGUAUUUCAAACGUAAUUAAUAAUAAUAAUAAUGUGUCCAUUUAUAUAGCGCCACACUCCGCGCUAAGUAUGCUCAGAGCGAUAAAAAUCAGUAGCACAGCACAUUAUUACCCCGGAUAACCCAAGCUGCCUGUUAGGCGCUAGAAGGUUGUAGUCACAUGACUUAUCCCACCGGGUACCCAUUUUCUGCUGGGUGAACAGCGGCAAUUUUAAGCAAAUUCACUUGCCUAAGGUGAGAUCACAGUCAUGUGCUUCGUCGUUUCGAUUGCUGAAAGAAAUGUUGCUAAAUUUUAAUUAUACCUGUUUAACUAUCUACCUUUCAUGCGACAGUUUGUUAAAAUAUAUGUUGUGUUCCGGUUACUUUAUGUAAAGAUGAGGAAGAAAUGAAUUUGCAAACAGAUUCAAGGAUUAAUCUACCUCACAGUCCCUUCAGUUGGGUAAUACUUCGACCGAACGUAGCGUUAUCACAACACUGCAACCCCUUAUAAAACAACUACGACAACGAUGUUUACUCAAACCCAUCUUUCAGCCCCUAUAUCUAGCUAAUUACCCUAUUCUUGGCUUAUCACUCCCCCACACACACACACCUUAUGUUGGGUAAUACUCUCUGAACGCAGCGUUAUCACAACACGGCACCCCAUAAUAAAACCAUUACGACAACGAUGUUUAUACUCAAACCUUCUUUCAGCCCCUUAAUCUUGCUGAUUACCUUAUUCUUGGCUUACUUCUAAUCCGAGAAAUAGUAUUCUUCUGCAAACGGAAAAUUCGUCCAACUGGAGCCCAGAACAAUCAUAAUGGUUAAUUUUAGGAGUAAUCCAGAAUGAACAAAAUAAUCUAGACUUGACUGUUUUAAUGUAUCCUUUGGGACCUCGUCUUUUCGUGUAGUCGUGAGGGACGACGGGGUAGACUAGUGGGUAAAGCGUUCGCUCGUCACGCCGAAGACAUUGGAUCGAUUCCCCACAUGGGUUCAGUGUGUGAAUCAUAUUUCUGGUGUACCCUGGCCUGACAUGGUAUCGAUAUUGCUAAAUGCAGCACAAUGCUACAUUCACCAAGCCACUCGAAGAAAGGUUCGAGAUGAGACACCCUAGUUUAACUACUUGUACUUGUGGUAUCAAUCCUUUUAUUCAGCUCAUCCAAAGAUAGAUGAAUUUUUAAAUCUAUGUUUAUCCUGCCAGAGACAGACAAUUUCCAUUGUGAUUGGUUAAUUGUCACCUAUACUGCGCAUAUGUUUGCCUUUCUAAGGAAUUUCUUCAUUUCUGAAAUUUUACAAACUCAUAUAUUGAAUAUAUAAUAAUAGUAAUGAUAAUAAUACUACUUUAUUUCUUCGAAAGGAAUUCAUUUUGCACCAAUACAGAGCUCUUGUACAAAAGAUAUAAAGGACAAACAACACCAUAAUAUAUAUAUGGUUUAGUUUUGGUUAAAUAUUUGUUAUGGUAACAAUUUGAAGAGGGUUCAUAACAUAUAUUCGCAAUAUAGUCGGAAUCGCACAAUCAGCUCUACGUUUAGCAGAGCUUUCUUAUAAACAUUGACAGACUUUUGUCACUUUUAUUCAUAUUUGCUUUUGUAACCAAAUCUAUGAUGCAUUUAUAACGUUUUGUUGACUUGUACUAUUGAUCUGAUUUGUUGAUAUAUGUUAUGCAGACAUUUAUAUUGUAUGUGCUGUAAACUAUCGUGUGCUUUUUUGUUUUCCAAGCAUGCGUUGUAUGCUUGAAGUUAAUGUUUUGUAAUAAAACUGAAUAACGUUUCACUGACUUCCUG